UGAGGGAAUAUUUGGGUCAAUGGGCGCGAGCCUGAACCAGCCAAGUAGCGUGCAGGAUGACGGCCCUAUGGGUUGUAAACUGCUUUUAUGCGGGGAUAAAGUGAGGGACGCGUCCCUUUUUGCAGGUACCGCAUGAAUAAGGACCGGCUAAUUCCGUGCCAGCAGCCGCGGUAAUACGGGAAGGUCCGGGCGUUAUCCGGAUUUAUUGGGUUUAAAGGGAGCGUAGGCCGUCUUAUAAGCGUGUUGUGAAAUGUCGGGGCUCAACCUGGGCAUUGCAGCGCGAACUGUGAGACUUGAGUGCGCAGGAAGUAGGCGGAAUUCGUCGUGUAGCGGUGAAAUGCUUAGAUAUGACGAAGAGCUCCGAUUGCGAAGGCAGCCUGCUGUAGCGCAACUGACGC
rnacentral:rRNA from 1 species